rnacentral:tRNA from 1 species
AGUGUAGCUCAGUUGGUUAGAGCACCAGAUUGUGGUUCUGGGGGUCGGGGGUUCGAAUCCCCUCAC